CAACGGACUUAGACAAAUGAGUGCUGGGGCGGAAACGCCUCACGUAGAUCUGCUCAAAGUCAGGGAAGCCUUUUGACUGGUAAUCCUGAGCCAAGCCCGACUUUGGGAAGGUGCAGAGACUUGACGGGCAGCACCUACGUCCGGCCGGAUACGGUGAAGAGAAAGUCCAGACCACGCCCCACCAAUGAAAAUUGGAG
rnacentral:ncRNA from 1 species